GGUCAGCUGACACAUCCCUGCCAAUCUCCGGCAGACCCUCCCUCCCAGACCCUCCCACCUCCUGGACAGCAUCCAUGUUGAAGCUGCCUUCAACAUGGAUGCUGUCCAGGAAGUAGGAGGGUCUGGGAGGGAGGGUCUGCCAGAGAUUGGCAGGGAUGUGUCAGCUG